CACGGACACACACACACUGCCACGGUUCACGGCCUCACAGCUCUCUUUCAAUGACUCAUUCAGCUGAGCUGUUUACACCCUGACCAUCUGUAAAUAAGGUUGUGGUGUUUUUGAGUACAGCAGCUCUCUGUUCUGCUCUUACCUUCAGGAGGUCGUUACUGUACGCUACAGUCGAUAAACCAGGAGGCCUGUACUGGAGGACUCUGUACGCUACAGUCGAUAAACCAGGAGGUCUGUACUGGAGGACUCUGUACACUACAGUCGAUAAACCAGGAGGCCUGUACUGGAGGACUCUGUACGCUACAGUCUGUAAACCAGGAGGCCUGUACAGGAGGACUCUGUACGCUACAGUCGAUAAACCAGGAGGUCUGUACAGGAGGACUCUGUACGCUACAGUCGAUAAACCGGGAGGUCUGUACAGGAGGACUCUAUGACAUCAUUUACAUGGUCUAAAAAACACCUUAAUUUAACAAUAUAAAAUAUAUAUUUAACCUUAAUUUAACAAUAUAAAAUAUAUAUUUAACCUUUAUUUAAC
rnacentral:lncRNA from 1 species